rnacentral:tRNA from 1 species
GCGCGAGUGGCGAAACUGGUAGACGCGCCAGAUUUAGGUUCUGGUGCCUUCGGGCGUGUGGGUUCGAGUCCCAUCUUGCGCA